ACUUGUGCAUGUCAUCAUGAGUAGUUCUUUUUAUGUUCUUAUAUUCACAUUUGCAUCUUUACAUUCACUGCUUAAGAUAUUUUUAAAUUUGACCGAAUAUCAUGGAAUGGUUGAAAAAAAGAAGGUGAAGAUUGUCUUCACUAAGGAUAUCUAAUAUCGUUACAGCAUCGAUAAGCAAUAAAUUGUAAGAAUUAUCUUGUAAAUGUGAAGUAGUAGCAGGAUGCAAAAG
rnacentral:lncRNA from 1 species